rnacentral:lncRNA from 1 species
GUGGCAUUUUGGGGACACCCCGCUGUCACCCCGGUGGCUUUUUGGGGACAACGUCCCAUUGCCACCACUUGGCCCUUGGGGACACGAUGUUGUCACCAUGCUGGUUCUUCAUGGACACCGCGUUGUCGCCACGGCGGCUUUUUGGGGACACGGUCCCACUGCCACCACGUGGUCCUUGAGAACAUCUCAUGGUGGCCCUUGGGGACACCGCGUUGUCACCCUGCUGGUUCUUCAUGGACACCCCAAGGUGGUUCUUUAUGGGCACCCUGCUGUCACCCCGGUGGCUUUUUGGGGACAUCGUCCCAUUGCCACCACGCCGACCCUCAGGACCACCCCGCUGUCACCUUGAGGACACUCCGCUGCCACCGUGGUGGCUUCUUGGGGACACCCUGUUGUCACCAAGGUGGCCAUUGAGAACAUCUCAUGGUCACCCUGGUGGCCCUUGGGGACACCCCAUGGUCACCAAGGUCGCUCUUUAUGGACACCCCAUUGUCACUGUGGUGGCUUUUUGGGGUCAUCACAUUGUCACCAAGGUGGCCAUUGAGAACAUCUCAUGGUCACCCUGGUGGCCCUUGGGGACACCACGUUGUCACCACGGCGGCUUUUUGGGGACAUCGUCCCAUUGCCACCACCUGGUCCUUGAGAACAUCUCAUGGUCACCGUGGUGGCCCUCGGGACCACCCCGUUGUCACCCUGGUGGCUUUUCAGGGACACCCUUUCAUUGCCACCACUUGGCCCUUGAGAAGAUCUCAUGGUGGCCCUUGGGGACACCACGCUGUCACUGCGGUGGGUCUUUAUGGACACCCCAUGGUCACCAAGAUGGGUCUUUAUGGACACCCCACUGUCACUGUGGUGGCUUUUUGGGGACAUCGUCCCAUUGCCACCACUUGGCCCUUGAGAACAUCUCAUGGUCACCCUGGUGGCCCUUGGGGACACCACAUUGUCACCGCGGUGGCAUUUUGGGGACAUCGUCCCAUUGCCACCACGUGAACCUUGAGAACAUCUCAUGGUCACCACGGUGACCCUUGGGGACACCCCAUGGUCACCCCAACACCUCUUUAUGGACACCUCGGUGUCACCAAGAUGGCCCUUGAGAACAUCUCAUGGUCACC